rnacentral:lncRNA from 1 species
GAUUAUCCACCUCGUCAUCAGGGGCCGGAUUAGAAGAUGCAGUGGUUCUUUUCCGGUGGGCAGUCUUCUUCACAGCUUUAGUUUUUUGCCGGGUUGCUCUUUCCGGUUUAUCUGUUUUCUCUGGUUUCUCCUGCGGCAACUUUUUGCUCCAAAAUGGAUCAUCGCACUGAUUAUGCAGACACUGAUAUUAAAAACAAUGACCAGACAUAUCAAUAACAGAUUCAGCAAAGAGAAAAAUCAAAGUCUUACAGCUGGCGGUUUGUUGGUGGCACAGAAGGGAAGCAGGCCGGUUCUAGCGCAGAUGUGCUCCGGUUCAUUCAGUAUCUUACGCACAGCUUCUGUGAUUUCUUCACUGGAGAGCUGGAGUCUUGAAUGUCGUAGUGGGUCAUCCACACUAUCAGUAUAUUCGCACAUCAAACCGGAGCGCUGACUAAGGGGCAGUAUGCUCCAUGAUAUCCAACAGCGAGCAAGGUCAGCCCCUGUUAAACCAUUGGCCAUAAAGGCUCUGAGCUUUGACAGCUGAGGAGCAUAUUUGCUUCUCUCCUGGGCACUCAAUCGUUGAGGAAAAGGAUGGGUAUUGCUGAGCCGCUCCGGACGAAAGCCAGGCAAGGGAUUCUCACCAGCAGGGGAGGUGUCUUUGCAGUAGAACCAUGUCUGAUUCCACUCCUUGGGGUGACUGUGCAGCUUGGCAUGAGGGUAUGUGACCUCUUUCCUUUUUUGAAUCGCCAUGCCACCCAACUCUGUAUUAGAGCCAUCAAUAAACUCAGUACGGCGGUUUAGAUGGAAAAGAUCUCUGAAUAAUUCCACUGUGGGCUCCUCUUGAAAGAACACCUCACAGAGCACUUGGAAGUGGCACAUAUUUGUAACAGAGUUGGGGCCAGUGUCUUGCGGAUGGAGUUGGAAAUCAGCUAGAACAUCCCGGUAGAAUUUAGAACCGGGCGGUUUAAAACCCCGGGCUAAGUGGUCUACGAAAACAACAACCUCUCCUUCUCGAGGUGUGGGGGGGCACUCUUUGCCAGGAGCCCUCCAAUGGACGGUGUCUUUACUGCCCAAGGCGCCAAUCAGGACUAAAUCGUCCAGUUGAUCCUCUGUGACGCGAGAAGGGACCCAAUUGCACUCAUACACUUGCUUGGCCAUGAUGAAAUCUACAAAGUACAUUGAUAUGUGCAAUGUUAAACCGGAAGCAGAUCUAUCUAAACCGGAGUUUAUGAAGCAACAGCAUCACGGCGGUUCAACAAGGGGACUAAUGAUAUAUGAUAGAUUGCUUUUUCAAAGGUGAACCGCCUAUGUGGUAAAGAGGAUACAGAUCUAAGGCAAGAAUGACUAAGGAAGGUAAAAACAGAUUUUAUAAGGUCGCAGUGAAAUUUUGGAUCUAUCGUAAGACAGGAAAAUAAAAGGAUUUAGACCUAAAAGGUUGAUCUCAAAGAAAUUCACAAGGGACCAGAUCAAUGCUUUAUGCGCAUAAAGGUUUGCUUUGGUAACAGAAGAUAAGCCAUUACGGGGAAUACAUCAGGUUUGAAGUUUUAUUCAUGGGCUAAAGAAGAAACAAAGGAAGAACAGCGCCAGAGUCUCGAUGAACUUCGACGAACAAGGAAACCCUAGAACAGAUCUGCGGGGGAAAGGAAAGAAGAUUUACCGGAGCUGAGGAAUAAGCGGAAGGUCGCCGCAAUGCUCUGGUGUGCUCAAGUUGAUGCAGCGGCCAAGGUUGAUGCAGAGGUCGAUGGUGGCGGCGGAGCUCCGAAGCUGGGCAACGCGAGGAAGAUGAAGCAGAAGGGGUCGGAGGGAAAGAGAAAGGAAAUGACCCUUCGGUCCUAUUUAUAAAGAAAGGGAUAUGUCAGGCGCGAGAAUCAAGGAGCCGCGAGGUUGGAAACAAAGCUGUGGCCUUAAUUGUCUCAGGCUUGUUAACAGGAUAAGGUUCUUUAUAACUAGUGACGUCACACCGGUCUACCGCGAGCAGAGAAGAUGACAUCACGGCGGUUCAAAAAAAUACAAGAAGAUGUUGAAGAUGAAGAUUUUUGCUAAGGAUUGACAUGAACCUGUUCAAAUCAAUUUGGGGCCUAAUGUUGGGGAUAUUACUACUGGGCGUAAACCGGCCAGGACAGGCCGGGUUAACUUCAUCAGUAGUUGAGUAUGAUAAAAGCCCAUGAGGGCAGAUGAGGGCUAAAGGCCCAUAAUCGGUUUAAGGCCUAUAGCUAUAAACCGGCGUCGGUAUGUAACUUGUGUUAUAAAUUAGGAAUAGUGGAGACCGAAGCGGACGCAUCUAUGAGCCGGUAUCGGGACUCUGUAAACCGAAGGGCGUCACCCAUGUAUAUAAGGGGACGACCCGGCGGCGGUUCAAAGACAGACAACAACUCGAGACAUAGGCGAAGCUUAUUUGCUCCCUAGUCAUCGAAACACCCAUCAAUUCCAUCACAACUAGACAUAGGCUUUUACCUUCAUUGAAGGGGCCGAACUAGUAUAAACUCUCUUGCGUCCUUGUGUCCGCUUUAACCCCUUCAAGCUAACCCGUGGCGAUGGCUCCACGACUAAGUCCUUUCUCUAGGACAUCUGUCAUGACAAAACCACGACACCUAUGGAGACAGGCAUACAUGAACCACAUCGAGCAUGUCGGUCAUCAGCGAGUGAAUCUGGGCUGUAGCACUGGGCUAACAGGACUCCGGGGAACCAGGGCUAUAGCAAGCUAGGAAGGACUCCGGAAGUCACCGCGUGGCAUUUCCCCGAAGGGACAGACAUAGGAACGAAGUGAAACACAUGCCGGCCAGUCAAGUGUCCUGAGCAGUAGUGCUGGGCUAGCAGGACUCCGGUGAACCGGGUUGUAGCGGACUACUAUGGGUCAAGGAGCACUAGACUACAUUUCCCCAUAAGAGAGGCUGCCAAGGAUAAACAACUAGAUUGUCGGAUCCCACACAUACCAAGCAUUUCAAUCAUACACACAAUAUGCUCGAUAUGUACAAAUACAACAUGGCAUCACAACAAAACUCUACAACUCAAGUACUUUAUUUUAAGGGCUCUAGAGAGCCAUACAUAACAUGUUCAUACAGGUAGGGGUCACAUGACCCGACACUCAAGUCAUACAAGCAUACAAGCACAUGCGGAAGCAAAUAGUCUGAGUACGGACACUAGAAAGAAAGAAGGCUUAUCGGAGCCUGUCUAUCUACAUAGGGCCCUCCAUGGCCAGGAUCACCACCUGGGUGGCAAGUCACUCAUCGACAUCGAGAUCUACAUAAAACCCAUCGGAGGGGGCGUUGUCGUCUGAAAACAGUAAUUAAGCAAACAUGAGUACAAAGGUACUAAGCAAGUCUUACAUCAGAACCUACUAUACAUGCUCAUUCUCAAGAAGGUGGUGGAGUUAUUGCAGCAAGCCAGCUUUGACUCUUGGCUAAGCUAUCCUACGGGACACCACUAGUCAAAUAGUUUUCGCACAUGAGUCCACUAAUCACCAACACAAUACUCCACCGGAGAUCCUCCCUCGUCAUCCUACGAGAGAGCCAUCCUCGGUACUCACACUUAUCUUGAGUCUUUUAGUAGUAUCCAUUAACUUGUCUAUGAACUGUAUAGGCAACCAAGUAGUCCUUUACCGCGGACGCGGCUAUUCGAAUAGAUGAUGUUAACCCUGCAGGGGUGUACUUCUUCAUACACGCUCUCAACACUUACCGCCGUUUACACGACAUGUACUCGGCAACCUUCAAGAGGAAGCCCAACGAGGGUGUCGGCCACAGCCUACCUAAACACUCAAGUCUCUAGUCCAGGUUUAUCGCCUAUCCAGGUUCCAUCCACAGGGAGUCCGGCCGAGGUUUCCACAUACAGCCCCGAACGAUGUGAACAGGGUUCCCGAGACACCAAACAAGUGACUCGGUACACCGUGCCACGGUGUAUCUACCGCAACAUAGCCCACCCCUAGGGUCAGCGCUACGCACGGCCGCCAACACGUAACCUACAAACACCAGAAACUAAUUGCAACUCCUGGACAGAGUACUAGGGUGAUUAAGAAGCCGAGAGGGUCCAUUGGUUUCGGGCCCAAUGUAUGGUAGUAACUGAAUCUUAAAUCACACAUACAGAUCUCAGUUCUUAUGGACGGCCUCAAUGAAACAACCCACCAUGUACUCCUACAUGGCCUCUCAUCGAUACCUUUACCAAAUCAUGUUCAACACAUUCCUCACAUUACCGACAUAAUCAUUUCACUCUAGCCCAUCACCCAGAUGAACCAGACCUGACACAACUCUAAGCAUAGCCGGCAUAGCAAGGUAGGAAACACAUACAUGGCUCAAUCAACUCCUACACAUGCUAGUGGGUUUCAUCUAGUUACUGUGGCAAUGAGAGGUCAUGCAGAGGAUAAGGGUUCAACUACCGUAGCACACAACAGUUUGAAACGAUGUUGUCUUAAUGCAGUAAAUGAGAGCAGAGGCGAGAACAUGGGAUUGUAUCGAUAUGAUCAAUGGGGCUGCUUGCCCGAUGGAGUGGUAGUAGGGUACUGCCCUUCAGUUGGAUACUCGGAGAUAUCCUCGGAAGCAGGACCUACCACGAAGGACACACAGAACAUAAUCCACAUGACAAUAUGCAACAAUAUGAUGCAUGCUAUGACAUGGCAAAAUAAUGUGUCCUGCCUAAUGUAAUGUGAAACAAGUUGAAAUGGGUCCAUUUGAAUCAAAGAUUCAAAUGAGGGUUAAAGUUCUUAUGCAUAAUGAGUGUGUUAACUUGUUUCACCUAAACAACAAAGUUAAUGUGGUUUUUCAUGCAUGAAACCAUUAUAGAUGGAUAUAUUGAAUUUUUCUAAUCAUUUUUCAUAUAUAAUUUGUUUGAUUUGGAGCUAUGGUUGAUUUUCUAUGAUUUUUAGAAGUUUAGGCUAUUUUCUGGAAUUUCCUAUAUAAAAAUAAAUCCAGAAAAUGAAUAAUUGCGCCAGCACUGCGUCACUGUGACAUCAGCGAGUCAAAGGCGCCAGGGCCAGUCAAACCUGACUAGUGGGCCCCGUCUGUCAGUGUCUCAGCUAACUAACAGAAUUAAGUUAGUCCUAACUAACUGUCAGUGGGGCCUGGGCCCACAUGUUAGUGACCUAAACUAACUAAAAUUAGUUAGCACUAAUCCUAAAGCAAUUAACAGUCCGGCCCCACCUGUCAUAGGCUUAGGGGGGAAGUCAACCUGGCCCACCCAGUCAAGUCCACGGGUCAAACCCGCCGGCGUUUAGCUGCCGGCGAGGCCAGACGCGGCGGAGGGGCUCGGGUUUGCGUCUCCGGCGACCAAAUCGACGGCGGAGAGCAGCUACGUGACGCGGGGAGCGAGCCGCAUCGAGUGGUGGCAGUGGGUGGAGCUAGGGUGGCCGGAAACGUCGCCAGUGACGACCUUGGCGGCCGCCGGAGUUCGGGCGAGGUCGAAACUGAGGCUGCGGGGCACAACGAGGCGCGUGGAAAGGUGCUACGGGCUGCUUGGGCUGCGACGAAUGCGAUGGCGUGCUCGGAGUCGAGCCAGCAUGGCUGUGGCCACGACGGCGACGUGCAGAGGCGACGGCGCGUGCGGGCGAGCUCGGUGUGGUUGCUGUGGUGCACAAGAAGGCAAGCGGGGAGGAUGGGAAGGCGCAGCAGCUCACGGCGGUGACGUAGGAGCAGACGACGCGGUCAGGGAUGAGCUGAUGCGGCGGCGACGGCGAUGGGGAUCUGCGGCGGUGCUCGGUGGAGUCGAGCUCGAAGAAGACGAAGCAGGGUGCGCGAGCGCUCGGGGCUCGGGCUGCUCGACGGAGAGGACGGCGGCGGAGCUCGUGGACACGGCGGGGCGGUGCGAGGACGACGGUGGACGUGAGAACUACGGUGGCGUGGCUGCGGCAGCGUCGGCCAUGGCUUCGGGGGAGCGAGGAAGAGAGCAGGGGGGAGGAAUGAGGUGUCCAGGGGGUCGGGGUGGCGCCGCGGAGGCGUUUCGAGGCAUCGCGCUGGCACGGGCGACGGCAGGCAGGCAGAGAGGUGGCGUCGCGAGCUCCUGUGCUCGCCGUCGACCACCUGCUCGCCUCGCUGGCUAGGCGAAGCAGCUGCAUGGAGCAGCUGCUGGGCCGGGCCAGCUAGGUGGGCCGGCUGGUGGGCUUCCAGGUAAGUCUCUGGUCCUUUUUGUUUUCUCUUUUAUUUAUUUCCUGCUCUGUGUAUUGAAAUAGAAUAAAUACUAUUUCAUUUCCAAAAACUCUGGAAAUAUUCAGAGGCACAUUUGAGAAUAUUCUCAACUGCCUAAAAAUGCUUCCAAGAUUAUUUGAGCACUUUAAAAUAUUUAUAGCAUUUAAAAUUCCCAAAUUCAAAUACUUAUGGCUUGUUCAAAAAUCCAGAAUGGCUCCAUAAAUUGCAAGACCAUUUUUUGGCAGAGGUUUUAGUCAAGACCAAAAAUGGUGGGCUUUUAUGAAGGGCAUUUUGGGUUCAUUGAAAUUCCAAUUGUUGGAAAUUAGCAUUUUCAGGGGGGGUGUUGGGGUUGAUUAGGCCCCAUUUCAAGUUUAAAAGAAAUUUAAACAUGAUGCACAUGUUCAUCCAAUCCUAAUGCAUGACUAAAAGCAGGGAUGUGACAGAUGACUCCAACAUUGACGAUUAUUGCAUGCGCCUCAAGAUGCUCGCCGGUGAACUCCAUGACAUUGGCGCGAGAGUCUUCGGCGAGCUCAUGCUUAGCACUCUCACUAUCAGCCUGAAUGAGGAUUUCGGCAACGCCGCUUCUAAUCUUACCAUGUUGCCACAACCCACUUUUCAGAUCAUCAUCGCAUACUUGAAGUUGGAGGAAUGACGGAUGCAAAAAGUGAAGAAGCAGUGCAGCACACCGCCCUUGCCGCGGGUACUUCUCGCGGCGGACCCACGUCGCCAGUGCCCCUACCACCUCAGUCGCGGCCCCCAGCACCGUUGAGCUUCUCCCCUCUUCCCACCACGCCUCCUGCACUCCCCUUGCAACAGCGGCAGAACGGCGGGGACUGACACAACCAGCGCGGCGAGGGCAGCCGCCCUCGGCAGCAGCAACAACAGGGUUCCGAGGGGGCUCCAUGCCAACAACAUCCCUCCCCACCCUGGGUGGUCGGCCAGAACCCUUGGACGGGUGUGGUACAUGCGUACCACAUGCCCAUCCGGAGGGUCCCGACGCCAGGUCUGCUCGGACCACGUUCGGCAGGCCACGAGGCCUACUUUGCCGCGCCACAACAGUCGGCUGGUGGUGGCUAAGCGGCCCUGCCCGCCCAGCCGAUGGUCGGCGGCUAUGCUCUGCCUGCACCAAUCCAACCCUGAAGCGGCUUCACCAUGCCGUGGGCUACCACGCCAUGGGAUCCCUCCCUUUUGGCUGCGCUGCACUCGCCUCCGUCACCCCAUAACUAUAGUGGUGGUGGAGAUUGGUACAUGGAUUCGGGCGCCACUGCCCACAUGACAUAUCAUCUCGGUAACCUAAUUUCCUCCUCUCCGGUUCAUACUUCAACUCAUAUCACCGUCGGUGAUGGUUCAUCUUUACCUAUCACACAUGUUGGUCGUUGUUCCUUUCCUUCUACAUCCAUGCCACUAACCAUGUGUAAUGUUCUUGUUUCACCUGAUCUAGUCAUGAAUCUUGUUUUUGUUCAUCGUCUUGCUCGUGAGAAUCCUAUUACAGUUGAAUUUGAUGCUAUCAGUUUUUCUGUGAAGGACGCCCGUACCCGGAUGGUUCUCCACCGAUGUGAUAGCCCCGAAGAACUCUACCCAGUGCACUCCUCCGCCACCACCUCCGCCACUCCAGUUGCCCUCUCCGCUGGUGUAGACCUUUGGCAUGCUCGUUUGGGACACCCCAACUCCGCCGUUUUGCGUCAAAUUCUUAAGAGUUUUUCAUUCUCAUGUAAUAAGAUAGACAACCAUACUUGUCAGGCUUGCCAUCUUGGCAAGGACGUUCGUCUUCCCUUUAGUGCGUCCACAACUAUUUCCAUUUUUCUGUUUCAUUUACUUCAUAGUGAUGUAUGGACAUCUCCAGUUGAAAGUAACACGGGCUACCUUUAUUAUUUGGUGCUUUUAGAUGAGUUUUCUCAUUAUGUGUGGGCAUUUCCUCUUCGUUGCAAAUCCGAUGCCUUAUCCGCACUCAUGGCAUUAUACUCCUAUGUCACCACACAGUACGGUCGCCCCAUACUUGCACUUCAAAUUGAUAACGAGAAAUAAUUUGAUAAUGUCGCCGUUCGAGAGCUUCUUGCCUCUCACGGCACCAUGUUUCGCCUAACCUACCCCUACACUUCACAUCAUAAUGGCCGUGCUAAGCGCAUCUUACGCACUCUUAAUAAUUGCGUCUGUACAUUGCUCUUUCAUUCUAAUGUACCUCCCCAGUUCUGGCCUGAUGCUCUCGCCACCGCCACUCUUCUUCUUAACAUUAGAUCUUGUCGUCCUCAUUGGAACUAUGCCCCUCACGAACUUCCCUUUGGUGCUCCUCCGUUGUAUGAUGGUCUUCGCACAUUUGGGUGUCUCUGUUAUCCUAGCAUCGCGUCUACCACCCCACACAAACUCGCACCACGAUCCCUUCCUUGCAUCUUGCUUGGUUACCCUUCCAACACCAAAGGCUACCGAUGUUAUGACCAUGUCUCCCACCAUGUGUACACUUCCUAGCACAUGUACUUUAACGAGAGGGUAUUUCCUUUUCACCAGGUACCACCAUCGGCCGCAACUUCGACAGAGCCUCUUGAUGCACACCCGGCAUGGCGCCCGCCCCCGUCGCGACCCACCACUUCAACGAGGCUGCCCCCUCCUGCGAUGAUGGUCGUGACUCCCCCGCAACCCCUUCGGGCGCAGCUGCCUUGGGUGAGUCGGACCCGGCCUCCUGAUACGUCUUCGUCAUAUCUAUGAUUUUUGAUUGUUCCAUGCCAAUAUUAUACAACUUUUAUAUACUUUUGGCAACAUUUUAUAUUAUUUUUUUGCACCAACAUAUUGAUCCAGUGCCUAGUGCCAGUUCCUGUUUGUUGCAUGUUUUUUGUUUCACGGAAUAUCCAUAUCAAAUGAAGUCCAAACGCGAUAAAAAUUUACGGAGAAUUAUUUUGGAAUAUACGUGAUUUGUGGGAGGUGGAAUCAACGCAAACGGAGGCCCACGGCCUCCACAAGACACCUGGGCGCGCCAACACCCCCGACGCGCGGUGGUGCCUUGUGGGCACCCUGUAAGUCAGUUGGGGCUCUACUUCAGGCGCAAGGAAGCUUAUAUCCGAGAAAAACAUGUUAAAAUUUCAGUGCAAUCAGAGUUACGGAUCUCCGGUAAUAAAAGAAACGGUUUUCGGCCAGAAAACAAAAACGUGAAACAGAAGAGAACACACACACACACACACACACACACACACACACACACACACACACACACACAGAGAGAGAGAGAGAGAGAGAGAUCCAAUCUCGGAGGGGCUAUCACCCUCCGCCGCCAUGGAGUCCAUGGACCAGAGGGGAAACCCUCCUCCCAUCUAGGGGGGGCAAGGAAGAAGGAGGAAGGCUCUCUCCCCCUCUCUCCCGGUGGCGCCGGAGUGCCGCCAAGGCUAAGAUCGUGACAACGAUCUUCACCAACAACCUUGCUACCGUCAACACCAACUUUCUACCCCUCUAUGCAGUAGUGUAACACCUCUUCUCCCUGUUAUAAUCUCUACUUAAACAUGAUGCUCAACACUAUAUAUUAUUAUCCAAUGAUAUGUGGUUAUCCUAUCAUGUUUGAGUAGAUCUAUUUUGUCCUAUGGGUUGAUUGAUGAUCAUGAUUGGUUUGAGUUGUAUAUUUUAUUUUGGUGAUGUCCUAUGGCGCCCUCCGUGUCACGCAAACGUGAGGGAUCCCCGCUAUAGGGUGUUGCAAUACGUUCAUGAUUUGCUUAUGGUGGGUGGCUAGAGUGACAGAAGCUUACGCCCGAGUAAGGGGGUUGUUGCGUAUCGAAUAAAGAGGACUUGAUACUUAAUGUUAUGGUUGGGUUUUACCUUAAUGAUCUUUUGUAGUUGCAGAUGCUUGCUAGAGUUCCAAUCAUAAGUGCAUAUGACGUAUUUACUUACGGCAACGAAGAAUAAAACUAUCGCUAUAUUUUUUUCCUUUUCCUAGUUCUUAUUCCAAGUGCAGGAUAACCCCAAGGGGUUGUGGGUUUUUUCUACCAAUGGGAGCUUUCCCUUCACCGCCCCCAUGCGGGUGGUCCACAGGGUUCAUAACUACCCCUCUUACUACAAGGCGUUUACCUAGCCAACACUUAGAUCCGGCUCUACCCAAUUUUUUUUGGUUCACCCCAACAUUACCCACUUGUCCGACCAUUGCUAAACAGUUUUGGGAUACUAAGUGGACCUCCCCAGAUGGUAUGCAAUAGGCACCAACCCCCCUCCCACACCAUCAUUGCUCGAACAGAUAUGGGUUGGCCCAUAUUCGGGAAUUUCACAUGCCUUUCUUGCACCGGUUAGGGGUAGGUUCUUGAACCUUCCCUAAAUCGGCUUUUAUUUUUUAAUAUAUUUUUCUUUAGGUUUCAUUUUUAUUAUUUUUUCCAUUUUAAUUUUUAGGACAUUUUUAAAAAAUUGGGAACAUUUUUUGAAAUUUACGUACACUUUUCGAAUUCGUGAACAUUUUUUCAAAUUUGUGAACAAUUUUUGAGAAUACAUUUUGCAUGGGCAGCAUUUUUUGAAAUUCGUAAGCAUUUCUUGAAUUUGCACAAACAUUUUUAGAAAUUUGGAACAUUUUUUUGAAUUCAAGAACAUCUCUCAAGUUUGUUAGUGUAACAUUUUUUGAAAUUUAUAACAUUUAAAAUAUAUAUUUUAUAAAAUUCAUCUACAUUAUAAAAUAUGGGUAUAUUCUUUAAAUUCAGAAGACAUUUUGGAAUCGAGGAACAUUUUCAAAAAAUUGUGGAUAUUCUAAUAAAAUUAGUGAAUAUUUUUUAAAAUUCAGAACUGUUUUGAAAUCUCAAACAUUCUUUAAAGCAAAAGAACUAAAGACAAAAAAUAAAAAGGUAAAUACUAAAGGUAAAAAACAAAAAGAAAGAAAAAAGAAAAGAAAAAAACUGUGAAGCCCCGCCCCGCACAUGGGCCGACUCAAAAGAGCGGGGGAGCGAGGGGUACGUGUUGGCUCACUUUCCACCGCACGGAUCGGGGAAUAGGAGCUCCUGCCAACACCGGCAUUCUCGUCGUGGCGGAAGCGGGGCUCAAUCCCAACACAUGUGGUCGUCUGCGUCUACAUGUAGUGGAAUGGCAAAUAUGUUCCACACUCCUCCCCACUGGCAAAGCCAAAGCUCGAGCCUCUACUAGUGCCAAGAUGACAGGUAGCUCGUCGACUCUCCAGACAAUUGCACACGAUUCAAAUAUCUAUUACGAUGGUAAGUGGUGGCUAUCAUCAGGAUUAUCUGGUGGCACAUAUGUAAAUCGUGAAGCAAUAUACAAGUACUAAAUAAAUUAUGCCCAACUGAAUCCAUUACCGUAACUUAUGGGAAGAACGGAAAAAAGUUUGAAUCGUGCCUCCUCCACAAGUAGUUGAUUGAUGACACUAUAUUUAGAGUCAUGUCUAAUUUCCCCAACCUCCCAAGUUGGGGGUAGAAAGUUUGAAUCGUGCCUCCUCCACAAGUAGUUGAUUGAUGACACUAUAUUUAGAGUCAUGUCUAAUUUCCCCAACCUCCCAAGUUGGGGGUAGUCACAUAAACGAUCCAGUAGUUCAAUAACCGACUCAAGCACUCUAGUUUAUAAGGGGCAACAAACAAUUACAAUUUGUUUCAUUUUUUACAUCCAAAAGCACUGUAAGCUUGCUUUCUCUCCCCCAAAGAGACUAAGAAAGCUAGAAAUCUAACAAAAUGUUCAUCUCUCUAGAUAUAUGAUAGAAAUGACGGUGUAACCCAAAGGGGGCUGCCACUCUUUUAUAGACCAGAAAAUAUCAUAGCACUACACCCGGGAUGCGCUAUGUGGUCUCAUGCAAUGCAUUAAUUAUAGAAAUCCGUGCUCAAACAUGAUGAUAUACUUCCAUCACAACGCUGCAAAUGUGUGUUAGAGUAUGCACAACACUGAGACUAGGUCUAGGAGGGUGGCAUACGGUUGUAACAAGACAUUCUCCAUAACGCAGGCACUAUAGGUUACAAAAAAGUUCCAGCCCACUGCUCAGGAACUCUAGUUGACAACAUUCAACUUCCCUGGUGCAUGCAAGAGCAAGUUGUGCAGUUUCAGUAGCCUCGACCAUUGCAACAAAGAGGUUCUUGGCGACACAACGGCUCCAUAUUCCCAAUGCCUCACACUCUUGCAGUAGAUGCAGGCCUUGGCCCUUUUCUAUUGCGAGAGUGAGGCAUUGGGAAUAUUGAGCUCCUGUCUCACCUCUACAAACGAAAACAAAUGCAUCUUUUUCCUGUCAUCAGUAGUCUCUUCAAGUGCUUCUGCUCCUUGGGCUGCUCCUUUAUGGACCAAAAGAUAUCGCAAGAAGAACAUGUGAAUCCAUGCAAUUACUAGGGCUGCAACCAACUACCAUCCCUGCCUUUGCUUUUGAGCAUCUUCUGACAAAAUGCAGAAGAAAAUCAUGUCAGUUUACUUGCAAAGAUUUCAUGUUCCAACGCACUGAAAAUUCACAUCACUGCCUCGGUAAUUCAUAAUUGAGGCACUAUCCUUCUGCAUUCAUUUUUCCCCAGAGACAGACGACAUACACUUGGACAAUAAAACUCUAUGUCUAACCAUGUAACCAACACGUUGGCCCAAACGGCCAACUUUCCAUGCCUCAUUUCAUAGGGAAGCCCAAAGUGGCUCUAUUUCAUUCUAUUUCACUUCCUAGCACUUCCUAUCAUUUAAUAUCCAUCCCUUUGGUCUUAUUGACAUAAGAGAUGUCAUUUAUAGUCUAUCUCUUUCUAUAUAUGGAAAGUCAAGAAAUUCUCAUCGAAACAUCGAGAAAUUGUGCAUAUAGAAAACUCUAAAGAAAGAAAAAAAGGAGACCCAUGCCAUGAUUUUCAAAUCUUUUCUAUUUAGUAGUCUAAGUUUCUCGAUGAGGAUAAUUAAUUCGGUCGUUGUGGUCGGACUCUAUUAUGGAUUUCUGACUACAUUCUCCAUAGGUCCCUCUUAGAUCUUCUUUCUCCAAUCUUGGAUUAGGGAAGAAGGAGAUAUUCGCGACUACUGGACUGAUGGACUUACCAAUCUUGAUCGUUACAAAGGACGAUGCUAUCACAUCGAGCCUGUUGCUGGGGAAGACAACCAAUGGAUCUGUUAUGUAGCUUAUCCAUUAGACCUAUUUGAAGAGGGUUCCGUUACUAACAAGUUUACUUCCAUUGUAGGUAACGUAUUUGGUUUCAAAGCCCUACGUGCUCUACGUUUGGAGGAUCUACGAAUUCCCCCUACUUAUUCAAAAACUUUCCAAGGCCCGCCUCAUGGUAUCCAAGUUGAAAGAGAUAAGUUGAACAAGUACGGUCGUCCUUUAUUGGGAUGUACUAUUAAACCAAAAUUGGGAUUAUCCGCAAAAAAUUAUGGUAGAGCGUGGUGGACUUGAUUUUACCAAAGAUGAUGAAAACGUAAACUCACAACCAUUUAUGAGCUGGAGAGACCGUUUUGUCUUUUGUGCCGAAGCUAUUUAUAAAUCACAGGCCGAAACCGGUGAAAUCAAGGGGCAUUACUUGAAUGCGACUGCGGGUACAUGUGAAGAAAUGAUUAAGAGAGUUGUAUUUGCAAGAGAAUUAGGGGUUCC